rnacentral:rRNA from 1 species
UACGGGAGGCAGCAGGGGGAAUAUUGGACAAUGGGCGCAAGCCUGAUCCAGCCAUGCCGCGUGUGUGAAGAAGGCCUUCGGGUUGUAAAGCACUUUUGUCCGGAAAGAAAAGCUUAGGGUUAAUAACCUUGAGUCAUGACGGUACCGGAAGAAUAAGCACCGGCUAACUUCGUGCCAGCAGCCGCGGUAAUACGAAGGGUGCAAGCGUUACUCGGAAUUACUGGGCGUAAAGCGUGCGUAGGUGGUUUGUUAAGUCUGAUGUGAAAGCCCUGGGCUCAACCUGGGAAUGGCAUUGGAAACUGGCUUACUAGAGUGCGGUAGAGGGGUGUGGAAUUCCCGGUGUAGCAGUGAAAUGCGUAGAUAUCGGGAGGAACAUCUGUGGCGAAGGGCGACACCCUGGGACCAGCACUGGACACUGAGGGCACGAAAGCGUGGGGAGCAAACAGGGAUUAGAUACC